rfam:Betaproteobacteria bacterium RIFCSPLOWO2_12_FTLL_62_58 rifcsplowo2_12_scaffold_3279, whole genome shotgun sequence.
UCCACUGCGAGGUGGAAUCUGAAGGAAGCUGUAGGCAAAGCGCUGGCGCGAGGAACACGAAGCGGAUAGAGGCGCUGUGUCCGGGUGAGACGGCAGAUACGUGUUCGGCAGCUUCGUUUCCGCCGCUCCCGAACCACGCGACGUGGAUCUCGCGUUGGUGAUGGCGGGCGAU